GACGAACGCUGGCGGCGUGCUUAACACAUGCAAGUCGUACGGUAAGGCCCUUUCGGGGGUACACGAGUGGCGAACGGGUGCGUAACACGUGCGUAACCUGCCCACAACUUUGGGAUAACGCUAGGAAACUGGUGCUAAUACUGGAUAUGUGCUCCUGCUGCAUGGUGGGGGUUGGAAAGCUCCGGCGGUUGUGGAUGGACUCUCGGCCUAUCAGCUUGUUGGUGGGGUAGUGGGCUACCAAGGCGGCGACGGGUAGCCGGCCUGAGAGGGUGACCGGCCACAUUGGGACUGAGAUGCGGCCCAGACUCCGACGGGAGGCAGCAGUGGGGAAUAUUGCACAAGGGGCGCAAGCCUGAUGCAGCAACGCCGCGUGCGGGAUGACGGCCUUCGGGUUGUAAACCGCUUUCAGCAGGGACGAAGCUUUUUGUGACGGUACCUGCAGAAGAAGCACCGGCUAACUACGUG
rnacentral:rRNA from 1 species